rnacentral:rRNA from 1 species
GGCGGAAUGCUUUACACAUGCAAGUCGAACGGCAGCACGGACUUCGGUCUGGUGGCGAGUGGCGAACGGGUGAGUAACAUAUCGGAACGUAUCCAAUAAUGGGGGAUAACUAAUCGAAAGGUUGGCUAAUACCGCAUACGCCCUACGGGGGAAAGCAGGGGAUCUUCGGACCUUGCGUUAAUGGAGCGGCUGAUAUCUGAUUAGCUAGUUGGUGAGGUAAAGGCUCACCAAGGCGACGAUCAGUAGCUGGUCUGAGAGGACGACCAGCCACACUGGAACUGAGACACGGUCCAGACUCCUACGGGAGGCAGCAGUGGGGAAUUUUGGACAAUGGGCGCAAGCCUGAUCCAGCCAUUCCGCGUGAGUGAAGAAGGCCUUCGGGUUGUAAAGCUCUUUCGCAAGGGAAGAAAACUUACUUUCUAAUAAAGAGUGAGGUUGACGGUACCUUGAUAAGAAGCACCGGCUAACUACGUGCCAGCAGCCGCGGUAAUACGUAGGGUGCGAGCGUUAAUCGGAAUUACUGGGCGUAAAGCGUGCGCAGGCGGUUUUGUAAGUCAGAUGUGAAAUCCCCGAGCUCAACUUGGGAACUGCGUUUGAAACUACAAGACUAGAAUAUGUCAGAGGGGGGUAGAAUUCCACGUGUAGCAGUGAAAUGCGUAGAGAUGUGGAGGAAUACCAAUGGCGAAGGCAGCCCCCUGGGAUAAUAUUGACGCUCAUGCACGAAAGCGUGGGGAGCAAACAGGAUUAGAUACCCUGGUAGUCCACGCCCUAAACGAUGUCUACUAGUUGUUGGUGGAGUAAAAUCCAUGAGUAACGCAGCUAACGCGUGAAGUAGACCGCCUGGGG